AGGAGUUUGGGAUCCGUCUCCUUUUACUCCUCCUCCACCUUGGGAGCCCUGGGCUACUCUCUUACAGCCCCUGUUGCCCUGUGAUCUGUAGGUUAUUGGGGACGCAUAGUUAGGGCAUCAGGACAUCCUGGAAGCUGGGAAAUGGUAACUUCUUAGACCAAGUCUAGAAACAGUCUCAGGACAAUAACAAUUCCAUUCUAGAAAGAAUCUCCCAACAUUUCUUCUAUCUCAACUCAAUGCAUCUGCUGUGAACUUCCGCUUACCAAGUUUAUUCUUCUGCAGUACAAGGCUCCUUCCAUGGUUGGUGCAUCAUACUGGGGAAACAGGGAUUCAAAAGACCCAGGCUGUUCCCUACAUAUGUUUCCUCCUCGACAUCAGUUCAUCAGUCAAUCAAGUCAUGUGAGAGUGGAGGCCUGUAUUCCCUAUUAUUUUGGGCACUCUCCUCCAAGGAGGAAAGGCCAGGAGGUCCUUUAGAGGAUGCACUCUGAGAGCCGGCUCCUAAGGUUGAGAGUUCUAACCAGCAGGUGUAGACUUUUCAGGAGUGAGGAAUGAGGCAG
rnacentral:lncRNA from 1 species